rnacentral:tRNA from 1 species
GGGGGUGUAGCUCAGUGGUAGAGCACUUGCCUAGCAUGUGCGGGGGGACCCUGGGUUCAAUCCUCAGCGCCACAU